UACGGGGGGGGCAAGCGUUGUUCGGAAUUACUGGGCGUAAAGGGUUUGUAGGUGGCUUGUUAAGUCAGACGUGAAAUCCCUCAGCUUAACUGGGGAACUGCGUCUGAUACUGGCGAGCUUGAGUGCAGGAGAGGAACGCGGAAUUCCAGGUGUAGCGGUGAAAUGCGUAGAUAUCUGGAGGAAUACCGGUGGCGAAGGCGGCAUCCUGGACCGACAUUGACGCUGAUGAGCGAAAGCCAGGGGAGCAAACGGG
rnacentral:rRNA from 1 species